rnacentral:rRNA from 1 species
CCUACGGGGGGCUGCAGUGGGGAAUAUUGCACAAUGGGCGAAAGCCUGAUGCAGCAACGCCGCGUGCGGGAUGACGGCCUUCGGGUUGUAAACCGCUUUCACCAGGGGCGAAUGUAGACGGUACCUGGGGAAGAAGCACCGGCUAACUACGUGCCAGCAGCCGCGGUGAUACGUAGGGUGCGAGCGUUGUCCGGAUUUAUUGGGCGUAAAGGGCUCGUAGGUGGUUUGUUGCGUCGGAAGUGAAAACCUGCAGCUUAACUGUGGGCUUGCUUUCGAUACGGGCAGACUUGAGGAAGGUAGGGGAGAACGGAAUUCCUGGUGGAGCGGUGGAAUGCGCAGAUAUCAGGAGGAACACCGGUGGCGAAGGCGGUUCUCUGGACCUUUCCUGACGCUGAGGAGCGAAAGCGUGGGGAGCAAACAGGCUUAGAUACCCCGGUAGUC